rnacentral:rRNA from 1 species
CCUACGGGCGGCAGCAGUGAGGAAUAUUGGUCAAUGGCCGUAAGGCUGAACCAGCCAAGUAGCGUGAGGGAAGACUGCCCUAUGGGUUGUAAACCUCUUUUAUGCGGGGAUAAAGGUGUCCACGUGUGGAUGUUUGCAGGUACCGCAUGAAUAAAGACCGGCUAGUUCCGUGCCAGCAGCCGCGGUAAUACGGAAGGUCCGGGCGUUAUCCGGAUUUAGUGGGUUGAAAGGGAGCGUAGGCCGGUCUUUAAGCGUGCCGUGAAAUUUGGUGGCUUAACCAUGAGAGUGCGGCGCGAACUGGAGUCCUUGAGUGCGCGGAAGGCAGGCGGAAUUCGUGGUGUAGCGGUGAAAUGCUUAGAUAUCACGAAGAACCCCGAUUGCGAAGGCAGCCUGCCGCAGCGUUACUGACGCUGAAGCUCGAAAGCGCGGGUAUCGAACAGGAUUAGAUACCCCAGUAGUC